ACAGGGAUUACCUCAGUAACGGCGAGUGAAGCGGUAACAGCUCAAAUUUGAAAUCUGGUCCCCUCUGGGGGCCCGAGUUGUAAUUUGAAGAGGAUGCUUUUGGCGAGGCGCCUUCCGAGUGCCCUGGAACGGGACGCCACAGAGGGUGAGAGCCCCGUAUGGUAGGACGCCGAGCCUCUGUAAAGCUCCUUCGACGAGUCGAGUAGUUUGGGAAUGCUGCUCAAAAUGGGAGGUAAACCCCUUCUAAAGCUAAAUAUUGGCCAGAGACCGAUAGCGCACAAGUAGAGUGAUCGAAAGAUGAAAAGCACUUUGAAAAGAGAGUUAAACAGCACGUGAAAUUGUUGAAAGGGAAGCGCUUGCGACCAGACUUGCGCCCGUCGGAUCAACCGUCCCUCGUGGGCGGCGCACUCCGGCGGGCUCAGGCCAGCAUCAGUUUUCCCGGGGGGAGAAAGGCGGUGGGAAUGUAGCUCUUCGGAGUGUUAUAGCCCUCCGCGUAAUGCCCCCGGGGGGACUGAGGACCGCGCGUAAGCAAGGAUGCUGGCGUAAUGGUCGUCAGCGACCCGUCUUGAAACACGGACCAAGGAGUCGUCCUAAUAUGCGAGUGUACGGGUGUAAAACCCCUGCGCGUAAUGAAAGUGAACGGAGGUGAGAGCUUCGGCGCAUCAUCGACCGAUCCUGAUGUUCUCGGAUGGAUUUGAGUAAGAGCAUAUUGGGCCGGACCCGAAAGAAGGUGAACUAUGCCUGUAUAGGGUGAAGCCAGAGGAAACUCUGGUGGAGGCUCGCAGCGGUUCUGACGUGCAAAUCGAUCGUCAAAUAUGGGCAUGGGGGCGAAAGACUAAUCGAACCU
rnacentral:rRNA from 1 species